rnacentral:lncRNA from 1 species
AAUGAAAGAAUAAGACAAGACCUCAAAAAAAAAAAAAAACUAAACAGAGAUAAGCAUCCUACGUGAUAGAGUUUAAAGUAAUGGUCAAAAAUAUGCUCAUGGAACUCAGGAGAAAAAUGGAUGAAGAUAGUGAGAACUUCAACAAAAAAAUAGAAAAUAUAAAAGAACCAAUCAGAGCUGAACAAUAUAAUGACUGAAAUAAAAAAUACAUUAGAGGGGUGCAACAGAAGAUUAGAUGAUGCACAAGAAUAGAUCAGCUAUUUAGAACACAGGGUAGUAGAAAUCACCCAAAUGAACAAAAAUAACAACAAUAACAACAACAAAAACAACAACAACAACAAAAAACAGUUUAAAAAAAAUGAGGAUAACUGAAUGAAUUUCUGGGACAACAUCAAGUAUACUAACAUUCAAAUUAAACAGAUUCCAGAAGAAGAGAGAGAGGAAAGAGGAGAAAACUUACUUAAAGAAGCAAUAGCUAACCACUUCCCUAACUUAAAAACGGAAACAUCCAGAGCCAGGAAGCACAGAAACCUACAAACAAGAUGAGUCCAGAGAGCUCCACACCAAGACACACUAUAAUUAAAAUGUCAAAAAUUAAAUAUAAAGAAAGAAUCUUAAAAACCGAGAAAAGCAACUAGUUAUUUACAAGGAAUCCCCAGCUAAGAUAAUUGUAACCUGACAAGAUUAUCAUUCAAAAUUAAAGGAGAGCUAAAGAGUCCCAGAAAAGCAAAAGUUAAACAUAUCAUCACCGCUAAACCAGCCUUAUAAGACAUGUUAAAGGGACUUCUAUUAACAGAAAAGGCCGUAACUAGAAGAAAAUUAUAAAAAGAAAUCUCAAUGAUAAAAACAAACAUAUAGUAAAAGUAAUGGAUAAACCGCUUAAAAAGCUAGUAAGAAAGUUAAAAGUGGUAACUCAACUAUAUCUACAAUAAUAACUUAAGGGACACACAAAAUAAAAAGAUGAAAAUAUGAUGUCAAAUACACAACACUUGGAGGUGGGAGUAAAAAUGUAGAGUUUUUUGAAUGAAUUUGACCUUAAAUAACCAUCAACUAAAAAUAGAAUGCAAUAUGGAUCAAGCAUCUUUUCUAACCACAAAUAGUAUGAAACUAGAAAUCAAUUACAAGAAGAAAACAGGAAAAAUCACAGAUAAGUAGAGAUUAAACAACAUGUUACUGAACAGCCAAUGUGUCAACAAAAAAAUGAAAGAGGAAAUAAAAAAAUACCUGGAGAAAAAUGAGAACUGAAACACAAUGCCACUUUAAAACCUACUGUACAUAGCAAAAGCAGCUUUAAGAGGCAAGUUUAUAGCCAUGUAGGCCCACCUCAGGAAAUAAAUUUUUUUUAAAAAUCUAAAUUAUGCCAAAAGAAAGCAAAAAGAAGAAGAAAAAAUGAAGCCCAAAGUUAGUAGAAGAAAUAAAGAUCAGAGAAGAAAUAAAUGAAAUAGGGACUUUUAAAAAAUGGAAAGCAUCAAUGAAAUUAAGAGCUGACUCCUUGAAAAGAUAAAAGAAAUUGAUAAACCUUUAGACAGUUUCAUUAAAAUAAAGUGAGUAAAGGCCAAAUAAUUAAAAUCAUUAAGAGAAGUUACAACUAACAUCACAAAAAUACAAAGAAUUAUAAGAGAUUAUUAGAAAGACUAUACACUAACAAAUUGGACAAUCUAGAAGAAAUGGAUAAAUUCCUAUAAACUUGCACUCUUUUAAGACUGCAACAGAGAAAAAAACCGGAAUAUCUGAUUAGAUCAAUUAAUAUUAGUAAGCUUAAACUAGUAAUCAAAAUACUGCCAACAAGUAAUCCAGAACCAAAAAGCUUCACAGGUGAAUUCCACCAAUUUUUAAAGCAGAUUUAAUAUCUAUUUUUCUCAAAAUAUUCCAAAAAAUCGAAGAAGAAAUAUUUCCAAACUCAUUCUUGAGGGCAGCAUUACCCUGAUACCAAAACCAAAGACAACACAUACACGUAAAAAAAUUACAGGUCAAUAUCCCUGAUGAACAUAGACCAAACAUCCUCAACAAAAUAUUAGCAAACUGAAUUUAAAAAUACAUUAAAAGGGUUAUAUCCCAUGAUUGACUGAAUUUAUUCCAGGGGUGAAAGGAUUUUUCAAUAUCCACAAAUCAGUCUACAUGAUAACCAUAUUAAGAUGAAGUUGAGGGCGGCUGGGUGGCUCAGAGGUUUGGCGCCGCCUUCGGCCCAGGGUGUGAUCCUGGAGACCCAGGAUCGAGUCCCACGUCAGGGUCCCUGCAUGGAGCCUGCUUCUCCCUCUGCCUGUGUCUCUGCCUCUUUCUCACUCUCUCUGUGUCUCUCACGAAUAAAUAAAUAAAAUCUUAAAAAAAAGAUGAAGUUUAUCCUUUUAUUUCAAUUGAUGCAGAAAAGGCAUUUGACAAAAGUCAAUAGCCAUUUAUGAUAAAAACUGUCAACAUGAAGGGGAGGUGUAGAGGGAAUAUGCAUCAACAUAAUAAAUAACAUAAGACUGACGCAAAGCUAACAUCAUACUCAAUGGUGAAAAACUGAAAGCUUUCCCUUAAAGGUCAAGAAUACUCUCACCACCUUUGUCAACACAGCAUUGGAAAUCCUAGCCACAACAAACAGACCAGAAGAAGACAUAAAAGGUAUCAAAAUAGUAAUGAAGAAGUAACAUUGUCACAUUUUGCAGAUGGCAUGACAGUAAAUACAGAAAACUCUAAACCUCCACCAAAGAAAAAAAUAUCCUAGUUUUCAUUAUUUUUGGUUUCUCAAAUAUUAAAACCAAUAAACAAAUGAAUUCAGUAAUAUUGCUGAAUAUAAAAUUACUAUACAGUAAUAUAUUGUGUUUCUAUUAUGAAUAACAAACCAUCAGAUAGAGAAAUUAAGAAAACAAUCUCAUUUACAAUUGCAUCAAAAGAAUAAAAUACCGGGAAAUAAAUUCAACCAAAGAGGUGAAACAUCUGUACCUUGAAAACUAUGACAACAAUGAAAGAAAUGAAAGGCAACAUGAAUAAAUGGGAAUGUAUUCUGUGCUCAAAGAUUAGAAGAAUUAAUAUUAUUAAAAUAUCCAUACUAUACAAAGCAGUCUACAGAUUUAAUGCAAUCUCUAUCAAAAUAUCAAUGGUAUUUUUCACAAAACUAGAACAAAUAAUCCUAAAAUUUGUAUGGAAGAAAUUGUCAAAAGACCACAAAUUGUCAAAGCAAUCUUUAAAAAGAAGAAGAACAAACUGGAGGUAACCCAUUCCCUGAUUUUGAACUAUGCCAUGAAGUUGUAGUAAUCGAAACAGCAGGGUACUGGAACCAAAACACACACAUACAUCAGCAAAACAGAAUAGAAAGCCCCAAAAUAACUAUGAUUAUAUGGUCAAUUAAUCUACAACAGAGGAGGCAAAAAUACAGAACGAGGAAAAGUCAGUCUCUUCAAUAAGUGCUUUUGGACAAGGCGCCUGGGUGGCUCAGUGGUUGAGCAUCUGCUUUUGGCUCAGAUCAUGAUGCCGGGGUCCUGGGUCUAGUCCCACAUAGGGCUCCUCUCAGGAAGCCCGCUUCUCCCUCUGCCUAGGUCUUUGCCUCUCAUUUUGGAUCUCAUGAAUAAAUAAAUAAAAUCUUAAAAAGAUAAAUAAAUGCUCUUGGAAAAACUGGAAAGAUACAUGCCAAUAAAUAAAUAAAUAAAUAAAUAAAUAAAUAAAUAAAUAAAACUGAGCCACUCUUAUACCAUAUACAAAAAUAAACAGAUUAAAGACCAAAAGGUAAGACCUAAAGCCAUAAAACUGCUAAUGGAAAAAAUAGGCAGUAAACUCUUGAACAUUGAUCUUAGCAAUAGUCUUUUGAUCUGUCUCUUCAGGCAAGAAAAACAAAAGCAAAAAUAAAGUAUGGGACUACCUCAAGUUAAAAAUCUUUUCCACAGUGAAGGAAAUCACCAAAAACCUAAAAGGCAACCUACAGAAUAGAAGAUAUUUGCAAAUGUUAUCUCUGACAAGAGGUUUAUGUCCAAUAUCUAUAAUGAACUCAUAUCACUGAACACCAAAAAACUGAAAUAAUCCAAUUAAAAAUGGGCAGAGGACCUCAUAGACAUUUUUUCCAAAGAAUACACACAGUUGGCCAACAGGCACAUAAAACCAUGCUCAACAUCAUUAAUCAUCAGGGAAAUGCAAAUCAAAACCACAAUGAGACAUCACCUCAUACCUGCCAUUAGGGCUAGUAUCAAAAAAACAAGCAAUAACAAGUGUGGGUAAGGGUGUGGAAAAAAGGGAACCCUAAUGCACUAUCAGAGGGAAGGCAAAAUAAUGCAGAUGCUAUUGAAAACGAUAUGGAGAUUCCUUAAAAUGUUAAAAAUAAAUACCACAUAAUCCAACAAUUCCAAAUACUAUAUAAUCCAAUAAUCCAUUCCAUAGAUACGCACACACAUGCUCACACACACAGUGGAGUAUUACUCAGCCAUAAAAAAUAAUGAAGUCUUGUCCUCUGUAACCACUUGGAUAGACAAGAGGGUAUUAUGCUAAGUGAAAGAAGUCCAACAGAAAAAGACAAAUACCAUAUGAUUUUACUUACAUGUGAAAUCUAAAAAAUCAAAACAAAUGAACAUACGUAACAAAAGAGAAAAAGACAUAAAUACAGGUAACAAACAGGUGGUUGCCAGAGGAAGAGUGUGGGCAGAUGGGUGAGACAGAUUGGGGGAUCAAGAGGUACAAACGUCCAGUUAUAAAAUAAAAAAGUAGUUGUGGUGUAAAAUACAGCAUAGGGAGUAAAUAAUAUUGUAAUGGCUUCAUACUGUGACAGAUGAUAACUAGGUUUAUUGUGGUGAUCUUUUCAUAAUAUAUAUAAAUGUCAUCAUGUUGUACAUUUAAAACUAAUGUAAUAUUGCAUGUCAACUAUAUCAGUAAAAAAAUUUUAAAAACCAUGAUUAAAAAUUGCUUCAAGAGAAAACAUAUUACAAUAUAUAAGUGCAUCAACAUAACAGCUUUUACACCUUAAAUUUACACAAUGUGAAAAAAAAUUUACACAAUGUAAUCUCAUUUUAUCAAAGAAAGAAAAAAGAAAACUAAAAUCAUGCCUCCGGAGUCCUUCUUUUCUUAAGGACUGCAUGCAGGAACAAAUAAGGUUGAACACAGAGUAACAAAGGGCUAAAGUUAAAGAAAACAAUUUAAAAACACUCUGUGACAGAAAUUUGAUAUUCUAUACUAAUAUUAAAUACUUCCCUUUAUAUCCACAUACCGAUAUCCAUUUAAGCCAUUCAAUCUUACCGCAUACAAAAAAAAAAAAAAUCCCCUAUAAGUAAAAUACAGAUGGAAAGUAAUUUAUUUGAAAAUAUUUAGGGACUGCCAUACUCAGAAGCCCAAAUGGUGCUAUUUUACUCUGUCUAAACUAUAAAGAAAUCACUGAAGUCCUCAAAGCUAGAUGGAAAACCCUAGAGAGCCUACUAACAAUUUAGCAUGCCAAUUCCCGUGGUAAUGUUAAUUUUACUUUUCACAGAGUCCUACUGAAAUGCUGUUCAUUAUAAUUAAGACUUUAUAACUAUAGAUGUGUAAAAAAAAAUGUGAGGCUUAUUAUACCAGAGACAUCCCAAAGGAGGGGUUCCAUCCUAGGAUUUACAGAUCCUAUCAAUGGGGUCCAUAAAUAAAAUUCAGAUGAUCUGUGCAUGUGGAUUAGGAAAAGAAAAGUCGUAUCUUUAUUUUCACUAACCUCUAGAUGAAAAUUGAUCGUUUUUUUGAAGUAUGAUUUAAGCCAACAAACCACAAUAGCAAUAUUUUCAUCGAUUUCAUCGAUAAACUUUUCAUCAUAGAAACUAUUUUCAUAUCACAUUUUGUUACAAAUAUCAUGAAGUAUGAUUUACUCUCACCACAGCUUCAAAAUUACUAUUGUUCUUAAACAUUAAAUAUUUGCCUGGAUCUUGUUAUUUAGCAUGUUUCGAAGCCUACCUGUUACUAUAUCAUGAAUUUGAUUCGCCAUGUUUUGAUGACUAUUUUAAUAUAACCGAUUCUCUGGGUAAUUUCCGCAUUUUAUUUUAUGCAUUUAAAAUAUUAAAAAUAUUAUUCUGAAACAUGUAUGACAUAGACAUCAUCCAAGUGUAAAGCAGCAAAAAGUAAGAAGUGACAUGAGUUUCAAACCAUUUUCUUUGGUUUCAGCAAAUGCUUUGGAGUUACAGCUUGCUCUUUUCCACCUAACACCUAACAUCCAUCGUAUCUUGCCAAAUGCCUAUCCUGUUUUUCAGAAUUUUACACUCCAGCAUCACAUGCAAACAUGACAGCCUUAGAGACAUCUCACCAGCUCCUGCAAUUAUAUAGAUCCUUAUAAAAAGCUCUUAUAGCAAAUAUAUAUAUAUAUAUAUACACACACAAACAUGUAUAUUUUAAUCUUUCAGAUUCUGACUGGUUACUGAUACAGCACAGAAAUUAUAUUAAGGAUCCCUGUUUUUUUUUUUUUAAAAAAAAGAAUCCCUGUUUUAAAACAGAUUUUCUUAAUUUUUUUUUCUUUUUUUUAUUUAUUAUUUAUGAUAGUCACACAGAGAGAGAGAGAGAGAGAGAGAGAGGCAGAGACACAGGCAGAGGGAGAAGCAGGCUCCAUGCACUGGGAGCCCGACGUGGGAUUCGAUCCCGGGUCUCCAGGAUCGCGCCCUGGGCCAAAGGCAGGCGCCAAACCACUGCGCCACCCAGGGAUCCCCUAAAACAGAUUUUCAUAUUAUCUUUAGACAUGAUCAUUAUAAGGCCAUUACAUUAGCUAACACUUAUUCUAAUUUAAAAAUAAGUGCUGGCUGAUCUUUCCUGUUUAUUAAAAAUAUGUAGGUUCAAUUCAUAAUAAAACAUAUUUUUGUUUAGUUU